AGAUUUCAACAACGACCUGAGCUGCUAAACCAAUAGCUGUAGAACUAGAUCCUGAACUAGAUCCUGUUUGUUUGCAGCCAAAAUGAAAUCUAGUCUGUUGUGUCUAAUUGCGUUGCUAAUAGUAGGAUGUAUGUAUACAUCUGAAGGCGCCCCGAUACAAUGCCCCAAUAUGGUGUACUGUUUUGUUGCACCCUGCGGUCUGGCACGGUGCUCGGUGCUUGGUGCAGUAUGUCAUGAUGACUACUGUGGUGGCUGCUAUGCCAGAUGGUACGUUGGAAGUAAAGAAGUUACAAGUCAAUGCACAUCCGGUUCGAUAGCCUAAAUAUCACGUGCCAGAGAGAUACUGCCUACUGUGGACAUUGGGGAAAGAAAAGUAAACAGAACAGUUCUUUAAGAAAGGUUAAAUUAAAGUUCUUUAUGCACAAUC